GGACUACUGGGGUUUCUAAUCCCGUUCGCUACCCACGCUUUCGUGUUUGAGUGUCAGGAAUGCGCCAGUGCACUGCCUUCGCUUUCGGUAUUCCCCUAGAUAUCAACGGAUUUCACCCCUACACCUAGAGUUCUAUGCACCUCUCACACCCUCGAGUCAUACCGUUUCGCCCGCACUUCCCGGGUUAGGCCCGGGGUUUUAACGAACGACUAAUAUGACCACCUACACACGCUUUACGCCCAGUGAUUCCGGGUAACGCUCGGGGCCUCUGUAUUACCGCGGCUGCUGGCAC
rnacentral:rRNA from 1 species